rnacentral:rRNA from 1 species
UGGGGAAUAUUGGACAAUGGGCGAAAGCCUGAUCCAGCCAUGCCGCGUGUGUGAAGAAGGUCUUCGGAUUGUAAAGCACUUUAAGUUGGGAGGAAGGGCAGUAAGCGAAUACCUUGCUGUUUUGACGUUACCGACAGAAUAAGCACCGGCUAACUCUGUGCCAGCAGCCGCGGUAAUACAGAGGGUGCAAGCGUUAAUCGGAAUUACUGGGCGUAAAGCGCGCGUAGGUGGUUCGUUAAGUUGAAUGUGAAAGCCCCGGGCUCAACCUGGGAACUGCAUCCAAAACUGGCGAGCUAGAGUAGGGCAGAGGGUGGGGGAAUUUCCUGUGUAGCGGUGAAAUGCGUAGAUAUAGGAAGGAACACCAGUGGCGAAGGCGAGCACCUGGGCUCAUACUGACGCUGAGGUGCGAAAGCGUGGGGAGCAAACAGG